rnacentral:rRNA from 1 species
AGCGUGCGUAGGUGGUUUGUUAAGUCUGAUGUGAAAGCCCUGGGCUCAACCUGGGAAUGGCAUUGGAAACUGGCUUACUAGAGUGCGGUAGAGGGUAGCGGAAUUCCCGGUGUAGCAGUGAAAUGCGUAGAUAUCGGGAGGAACAUCCGUGGCGAAGGCGGCUACCUGGACCAGCACUGACACUGAGGCACGAAAGCGUGGGGAGCAAACAGGAUUAGAUACCCUGGUAGUCCACGCCCUAAACGAUGCGAACUGGAUGUUGGGGGCUACUUGGCCCUCAGUAUCGAAGCUAACGCGUUAAGUUCGCCGCCU